GGAGGUGCCGGUGGUGGGGUCGCCAGUUCCGGAGUACGAGGUGGAGGAGGAAAAGGAAGAGGAGGAGACGAGGAGGAGGCACGGAUAAGGAAGAAGAAAAGAUUAUUAGCUGUAGCCCUCCCUCCAGCUGAUAAGGGGAUAUUAAGGAGCCCUUCCUACAGGUUCGUUCGAUGCAAGGAGUUGGCACAGGAGGCGUCCGAGGCUGUGUAGAGCGGCCGUCUGAACCUGGUGCCACAGCUUACUAUGUUCAACAGAUGCCUGAAGGAAGUGUGUGUAAGGGAGGAUAAAGAGAUCAUGCUGGCCUAUGCAGACGAUGUCGCUGUCGUGACAGGAAGCCAACAAGAUCUUCAAGAGGCCAUGACAAGAUGGAAUGAUGUUUUAAAUAGGGAAGGAAUGAGAAUGAACAAACAAAAAACUUAUUUACUAGUGGACAAGCAACAAGUGAUGGUGUGGCUCUGAGCCACUGUAGUAGGGAUGUUAUGGUUUAAGUGUAGGAAGUUGCAAAUGCUCACCUAACAAUUGCACCUUAGUAGAAAAACACAAACAGGAAGUUUAUGCAAGUUUUUAUCCUUAUAUAAAAUGUUGUAUUGCAUCAAACCUCCAUACAUUACUGUCUCUAUCCAGUAUGAGACCGGUGUUCAGGAAGCACAAGCAUGUGCUGAAUAACAAGAAGCCGGCAUUGGUGAAGGUGACAACAUUUCAUCUAUUUAUACAUACUUUUUAUUAUUAAAGCUUAUCUUAUAAUUAUUUCUGAAGAGAUUGACUAAUUUUUGUAGUAUUUAUGACUUAGAACUAUGAUAAAGCUAUGAAUUGAUAUAAUUCCUGAUUUG